GGUUCCAUAGUGUAGCGGUUAGCACAUCUGCUUUAUACGCAGAAGGUCUGGGUUCACUCCCCAGUGGAGCCA
rnacentral:tRNA from 1 species